CGAGGAACGCCUGAUUCUUAAGUAGAAGAAGAAGACACCUCGCUGGUUUGGGGCAGUUGUUAAACGCGAGGCGGACAGAGUUUGUGCGGGAAGAAAUCUCUUAUCGUGCGGCUGCCCGGCUCCAGAUACCGCACAGGUGAGGCGAACUGAUCUGAAUCACACCCUCGUGUGUGUGCAGACUUUAGCACACAGGUAGGCUCUGUUGAAGCCAGAUACAGAGUGUUUUGAGGGAGGUUGCUAGGCCUCGCAGGUUGUAAUCACCAUGAGUUACGGUAGGCCUCCGCCAGACGUCGACGGCAUGACUUCCCUCAAAGUGGACAACUUAACGUACCGAACUUCGCCCGAAACCCUGAGACGUGUGUUCGAGAAGUACGGCCGGGUAGGAGACGUCUACAUCCCCCGGGACCGAUACACGAAAGAAAGCCGGGGUUUUGCGUUUGUGCGGUUCCACGACAAACGGGACGCGGAGGACGCCAUGGACGCCAUGGACGGCGCGCUGCUGGACGGACGAGAGCUGCGAGUCCAGAUGGCCCGGUACGGCAGACCCCCUGACUCCCACUACGGAGGUGGAGGUGGCGGCGGCGGUGGUGGUGGAGGUGGAGGCGGCGGCGGAGGAGGAGGAGGCCGACGAGGAGGAGGGCCGACCAGGAGGUACGGCGGCCAUGGACGCCGGAGCAGAAGCUAUUCCCCCAGCCCGAGACACAGAAGACGCAGCAGGUCCCGCAGCAGGAGCCGCUCUCGUUCCCGAAGCCGAUCCCGCUACAGCAGAUCCAGGUCCCGGUCCUACUCCCGAUCCAAGUCUCACUCUCCCAGGACUAAGAAGGCCAAGGCCAAGUCCCAGUCUCGCUCCAGAUCUAGAUCCAGGUCCAAGUCCAGGUCCAGAAGCCGCACCCCUUCCAGAGGGUCCAGGUCGAGAUCUAAAAGCCAGCCCAAGUCGGCAGCAGAAAAUGGAGGCGAAUCCCCGUAGAGCUCAGAAUCAGCUGCGGCAUCCUGUUUGCUAAAGUGGAGUUUGAGCUGAGGCAGAAUGAGCAGUUAGGAGGUGUGAGGUGAGCUGCAGCCCACGGGCCGCCUGCUGCUGCUGGUGAGGGUUUCUGAGCAGCGGGGUGGAGGCAGGCAGAGUUGGGGUUUGGUGUUGAGUUUUCAGGUGAACACCGAAGCAUCAAGUCCACGACUGAACCAACACGAGCGACAGUGUCCUGCUGUUUAAGGUUAUUAUUGUGUCUUCCAUGCUUUAGUUUGUUUUAUUCAUUUGGCCACAAAAAAGGCUUUGUCACUUCAAUGAUGUGCUGUAAUUUUUUUCAAUUAUUUUCAUGAUUUUUAAUAAUCUGCUUCAAUAUGGAGAGAAACUAAAGUUCUGACCUGGUUUUGUAACGAUGACACGGGAUAGUACAUAAAGUUUCUUCAUGUCCUUAACCCCACAUGGGCCUGUUUUGGAAGUUUUCAUCUCUCCUGGCUUUGAUAAACCUGGAUCCUGUGGCAGAAAUAUGGUUACCAGCUGACUCAAUGCAGCAAUCAUUACAUUCGCAGGUUUUUGGAGGGCAGAGAUGACACUAAUGUGUUAAAAUUUCUGCAACUAAGUGACUGAUCUGUUGACCAUUUAUUAAUUGUUAAAUCAUUUUAUAAAGUUUUUUAUUACUCAAAUGAACCUUGUUUUUUUUAAACAAACAUCAAAAUAAUACAUUUUACUAAAAUAUAAGACAAAGGAAAGCAGGAAAUCCUCAAAUUUGAGAAGCUGAAAAUAUAUUUUUGCUUGAGAAAUUACUGAAAUUAUUAUUUGAUCAUCAAAAAUAUUUCCAUGCAAUCUAAUGAUCGGUUAUUGCAGCUUUGGUUAACCUCACUUUGUGACACGGGUCUGAGGUUUCAACGACAGGACAGUGGGAGAUGUCUGAAGAAGCCUGUUUUCUACUUUUUAAUUUCCUGUUCAGCAAGAGAUGAGUCCAAAAACAACCGAUCCUCUCCAAACUUUAAACUUUUCAUAUUUCAAGGUCUCGGCUUCCUUCCAAUGUUUAAUUUCUGCAGCUCAGGGUGUCUUUGUUAGACAGCAGAUCAUUCAGCUCCUGUGAUAAAUGUGUCGGUGUAAUUACAGUAAAGAGAGACUGAAAGAUGUAAAGUCUCUGUCUGCAGGUUGCUUCAGGUCAGUGAAACAGAUUUUAAGGUUAAAUCUUUGUUGAAACUUACAGGACAUGGUUUACUGGACUCUAGACACAGCGUCUCUGUUCUUUUUAUUUUUAUUUUUAAAUCCUAACCCUGCUUGUAUGUUUGUUUUGUGCACUAGGCGCAGUUGUGUAGCAGUUGAGUAUUGCUGGUUAGCUGUUAAGGUGGCGUGUUGCUCUGCUGAGUGCUGAUGUAUCCAGUAUUCUCCAGAAUGCUCCUGUGACUACCAGUGCUACGGUUUCUGCAGGCUCACUCUUUGUAAGAUGAAAUGUUCUUUCCCAUACAGUCAUGAUGACAAAUGUGACUUUCAUUAAAGAUUUGGUGUUUUGUCUAAAA